CUUUUGUGAUCAUUAGGGAGUUGACUACGUCGUACUUUUGUGGUGAGAUAGCUUCCUAAUUUUUUGAAUUUCUAGUUGCAGGUCUGGCUCGGUAUGCUUGGAUGUUAUUAAUCAAUCAUGGAGUCCAAUGUUUGAUCUUUUAAAUGUUUUUGAAGUUUUUCUUCCUCAGCUUUUGCUCUACCUAAAUCCUUCAGAUCCACUAAACGGCGAUGCAGCUUCAUUAAUGAUGAAGGAUAGAAAACAGUUUGAUCAAAAAGUGAAAGCCUGAAAGAGUACUGUGAGCGAUAUGCGAAAAAGGAGAACAUCAUGAACUCGAAAUCUGAUGACGAAAGUGGUGAAGAGGAGAUCAGUGAUGAGGAAAGCGGAUCAAGUGAUGAUGAAAUUGCUGGCCCCGUAAUCAAGUUAAAUGCUCUUUAUCUUUAAUCUUCUUGUAGAGACAGCAAUAGAUCUUCUAGUUCUAGUCCAUUCUUUCCAUUGUAUUUUAGUCGUAUAACUGCACACAUUUGCUUGUAAAAUUAUGUUGACAAAAACCAUUGCCUUUAUGAAAGCUGUUGUUUGACCAAUGUUGAAGUUUUUGUUA